GAUGAACGCUGGCGGCAGGCCUAACACAUGCAAGUCGAGCGGACAAAGGGAGCUUGUGCUUGGAUUACGUGGGGGACGGGUGAGUAAUGCACAGGAGUAUGCCUGGCCUUGGGGGAUAACGUCAGGAAGCGAGAGCUAAUACCACAUACGAUAAGAGAGUGAAAGUGGGGGUUCUUUGGACCUAACCGUAUUUGAUGAGACUAGGUCGGAUUGGCUAGUUGGUGGGGUAAAGGCCUACCAAGGCGACGAUCCGUAACUGGUCUGAGAGGAUGAUCAGUCACACUGGAACUGAGACACGGUCCAGACUCCUACGGGAGGCAGCAGUAGGGAAUAUUGGGCAAUGGGCGAAAGCCUGAUCCAGCCAUGCCGCGUGUGUGAAGAAGGUCUUCGGAUCGUAAAGCACUGUUAGUUGGGAGGAACAGCUGUAAAUUAAGACCUUGCCGUUUUGACGGUACCUACAAAAUAAGCACCGGCUAACUACGUG
rnacentral:rRNA from 1 species